UAUAGUGAAGAAUGUACUUGCUGUGUUUGUUUGCUUCAAUAUAGAAUAAUAUUAGUUGAUUUCCGUGGCGUGGUUGAAUUUCGGAAUAAAAAGUACCCUAUGUGCUGUCUCUCCUUUAUCCGUCUUGUGUUUUCCCGGUUUCUUAUUCAGCCGUUGAGCAUUGGCGCCGAAGGUCCUGUUUCCGACGCGUAUGCAAAUAGCUGUUCCCUUGAGUAGAAUCUCCGUGCCUUCAAACGAUACGUACGUUUGAGGACAAUGGAAGUGUCCUUUGUUUUGGAAUUUAUUACCACAACCUGUUUUCCUUGGCCAGGCGCCCGGCAUCCUGCAGGAUAUCCAAAUACAAAUGGAUAUCCACAUAUUACUUAUUUUUACAUUACUUCAAAAUACCAUCUCUCAUCACUAUAGAUGGAAACUUCCUCAUUGGACAUGACAACCGUCAAAAAGCCGCCGAAAAACUGUCAUCUGUCAAUGUCAUCGCGCCAGCGGAGUCCAACGGUCGAAUACAGCUGUCAAGGCUCCCAGUUGCGUUCAGUUACCGCAGUUACGAAACGUCCGUUAAUUUUCGAGAUGAGUUGGCGUUUUGUCGAAAUUAAGCAUCGUAACGUUGCAAUUUGGUACUUAGGGAAUUGACUAAAGUCACGCGGUGCUUCUCUCGGCAUUAAUCUGAAAAUAUCCCAUUUACUUACUAUUCUGGCUCAGUGAGCCUAAAUGAGGGUUGGCCUCCAACACAAUCGCACACCGUCACCAGCUUGCAGCUCGCAAGGCUCCAGCGGUACCUGGGACGACCAACAGGCUCAGAUAUGUUUUUUUCAAUACCCGAUCUUCCUCCUACAUAACAUCCGAGCCAGCGGAGUCGCUGUGCCGUGUACAUUGCACCUACAUUGUGCCAGGAAAAUAUACUAAGUAAUUUUAUAAAUGCAAAAGUAAGUAGUAUCUUCUUUAAGUUUUGCAUACAUGUACUUUGAAGUAUGGAUAUAUACCUUUCAACCCGGAAAUUUAUCGCGGCCGGAGCCGCGGGAAAAAGUUAGUUAUAAAUAAUAUCUAAACAAGGUGGAGGUGUCGCGGCCUAUUUGUCCGUUUAUAAUUUAGAUCUAUGGCCGUCCGCUGACUGAUCGUGAACCCUUUUACUAAAACCAAGUUCACACUCCGAUACUUGCCUCUCUCAAAAUACGAAAGAAUAAUUCAUACCUAUAUAUACACAUCAUCAGAAAUAAAAUCAAAUCAUUUAUUCAGAAAUUUGGCCUUCACAGGCACUUUUUCACGUCAUAUUCUAAAUGAAAUGAUAUUUACCAAAGCUACAAACUACCUACUAGCAUUUCGGAACGACCACUGCUGAGAAGAAAUGCCGAAAGAAACUCAUUCAAACAGUGUUGGACCCUAUUAUGCCAGAAGGGCCUACCAUUUUUUAAAUAUAACUUUAUGUACCAUUUUUUAUCAGUAAUAUAACAAUGUAAGUACACAAUAAAGUAUAUACUUUGUCAAAAGGUAUACUGAAUCGAUCGAAAAAUUUGUACCUACUAAUAUUAUAUGUCUGUCUGUCUAUCUAUCUGUCUGUCUUUUCCGCGUUCACGGUUAAACCGCUGGACAUAAUUUGAUGAAAUUUGGUAUGCAUAUAAUCAAAGACACCCGUUCAAACAUAGGCUACUUUUUUUCAAUAAUUAACCCUCAAAUUAGUAUAAUUGUUGUGACAAUUAGUAUGACAAUUGCGUCUAUUCCGCUUUCUCAGAGAAAUAAACGCGGGCGAAGCCGCGGGCAAAAUAACAGCUAGUAUUAAAUAACAGUCUUGUAUAUAUGUACGACCACUGCACCGAGUCGGCGUCGGCUCCAAUUAGAAAUUAUAAUGUUAUAAUUAUAUUAGUCUGGAGACUGGUAAUAUGCCCGUUAUUAUUGUUUAUAUAGGGUUACUGGUAUCAUGGUAUCAAACGCAAAACCUCCUAAAGACUACUUGGGUACAUCAAAACAAGCAACUUUUAUUCUACGACUUCUUGUGAUUCGUAGUUUUGUUUAUUAAUAUAAAAAAAUACAAUCUAAUUUGCGAUUCUAUACAUCUUAACUCUAUGUGAGUUAAGAUUCUAUACAUCUUGGAAAAUGUUUGUAUUUAUUAAGUUUAGACAAAAAUCGUAGAACAAAGAUGUUAGUCGCUAUGUACCUUAUGCGCCUUUUUUAUAAAUAAAUAUAUAGGGACAAAUCAAACAGAUUAAGUUAGCCCCAAAGUAAGUUCGAAACUUGUGUUAUGGGAUACUAACUCUACCAAUAUUCUAUAAUAUUAACAUAUAUAGAAUAACAUCCAAGACCCAGGUCAAUAUAAAAAAGAUCAUUUUCCAUGUUGAGCUGACCGGGGAUCGAACCCGGGACCUCCAGUGUAGCAGUCCAGCGUGAAAACCAUUAGGCCACGGAGGUCGUCGAGUCUUCGGAAGGUUAUGCGUUAGAUACCAGUAACCCUGUAUAUGUUAUUCUUAUUAAAUAAGUAAAUAAAUAAAAAAAUCUUUAUUUACUUAAAAGAUUUGUAAUAAUUACAAAUAAAUUAUAUAAAAAGGAUCCUUGUAAGUCGGUAGUACAAUAUUAAAAGACCUACAUUUGUUAAUUGACGUCCUUGGAGAAAAGGCUGCGGUGAAGUUUGUUGCGUCGCUUCUUCUUCACCUGCGCUUUGGAAAUCGGCAGUAGACUUAGUUGAAGUAAUUUUUUGACGUCAAUAAGUGAAUAAAGAAUUUUGAAUUUGUAUUUGAAAUUAUAAGUAUAUAAAACCUGAUUUCCAAACUUGACAGGUAAGAUUGCCCGUCUAGUUUGGAAAUCAGGGAUGAUUAGGGAUUUCCCUAAACCUAACCUAAACGAUGGCUGUAUUUUGUUAAGGAACA